GGAAUAUUGGACAAUGGGCGCAAGCCUGAUCCAGCCAUGCCGCGUGCAGGAUGACGGUCCUAUGGAUUGUAAACUGCUUUUAUACAGGAAGAAACCCUGGUUCGUGAACCAGCUUGACGGUACUGUAAGAAUAAGGAUCGGCUAACUCCGUGCCAGCAGCCGCGGUAAUACGGAGGAUCCAAGCGUUAUCCGGAAUCAUUGGGUUUAAAGGGUCCGUAGGCGGUUUAGUAAGUCAGUGGUGAAAGCCCAUCGCUCAACGGUGGAACGGCCAUUGAUACUGCUAAACUUGAAUUAUUAGGAAGUAACUAGAAUAUGUAGUGUAGCGGUGAAAUGCUUAGAGAUUACAUGGAAUACCAAUUGCGAAGGCAGGUUACUACUAAUUGAUUGACGCUGAUGGACGAAAGCGUGGGUAGCGAACAGGAUUAGAUACCCCUG
rnacentral:rRNA from 1 species